UAAGUGAAUUUCUUGCCACAGUC
rnacentral:miRNA from 1 species